UAAAAAUUUGCAUUAAUGAAC
rnacentral:piRNA from 1 species